UAGCACAUCUAAUUUCUGUUUUGAUCUUGUUUUGUUUUCAGUUAUUUAAUUUCUACCGUUCCUUAGAUGUCUUUUCAAACCGCACAAGAUGCUAUGCAGAAAAGCAGAAGAGGGAUGUGUGGUCUUUAGGAAAUACAUCAGGACACGCAGACAAGAUAUUCAUGAAAACAAUGGACAAACAACCUGGAUUCCUUUGCUAGCUGGAUGCUGCUAAUGCCACGGGAGACACCGAAUGAGUUGAACCCCAACCACUUUCUUGAUGCUGAUGGAAAGUUUACAAAGACAGAAGCUUUCCUGCUUUUCUUCACAGGCUUGCUCCGGAAGUUUACAUUUCAGCCCCUGCCUGAGGUCACAGAAUCUGGGUUGGACUUCGCUGCUGAGGUUGGAUUCACUGUGAGACCACGACCUCAAUCAGCCUGUGC